UUGAACGCUGGCGGCAUGCCUUACCCAUGCCAGUCGCACGGCAGCACGGGUGCUUGCACCUGGUGGCGAGUGGCGAACGGGUGAGUAAUACAUCGGAACAUGUCCUGUAGUGGGGGAUAGCCCGGCGAAAGCCGGAUUAAUACCGCAUACGAUCUACGGAUGAAAGCGGGGGACCUUCGGGCCUCGCGCUAUAGGGUUGGCCGAUGGCUGAUUAGCUAGUUGGUGGGGUAAAGGCCUACCAAGGCGACGAUCAGUAGCUGGUCUGAGAGGACGACCAGCCACACUGGGACUGAGACACGGCCCAGACUCCUACGGGAGGCAGCAGUGGGGAAUUUUGGGCAAUGGGCGAAAGCCUGAUCCAGCAAUGCCGCGUGUGUGAAGAAGGCCUUCGGGUUGUAAAGCACUUUUGUCCGGAAAGAAAUCCUUGGCCCUAAUACGGUCGGGGGAUGACGGUACCGGAAGAAUAAGCACCGGCUAACUACGUG
rnacentral:rRNA from 1 species